rnacentral:rRNA from 1 species
UGGGGAAUAUUGCACAAUGGGCGCAAGCCUGAUGCAGCGAUGCCGCGUGAGGGAAGAAGGUUUUCGGAUUGUAAACCUCUGUCAUCAGGGACGAAAAAAGACGGUACCUGAGAAGGAAGCUCCGGCUAACUACGUGCCAGCAGCCGCGGUAAUACGUAGGGGCAAGCGUUAUCCGGAUUUACUGGGUGUAAAGGGAGCGUAGACGGUGUGGCAAGUCUGAUGUGAAAGGCAUGGGCUCAACCUGUGGACUGCAUUGGAAACUGUCAUACUUGAGUGCCGGAGGGGUAAGCGGAAUUCCUAGUGUAGCGGUGAAAUGCGUAGAUAUUAGGAGGAACACCAGUGGCGAAGGCGGCUUACUGGACGGUAACUGACGUUGAGGCUCGAAAGCGUGGGGAGCAAACAGGAUUAGAUACCCUGGUAGU